AUGGUGCCACAGUCACAACUCCUCAUCUCCCUGCUGCUCUGGGUCUCAGGAGUCUCUGGGGCCAUCGUGAUGACCCAGUCUCCAGACUCCCUGGCCAUGUCUACAGGAGAGAGGGUCACCAUCUCCUGCAAGUCCAGUCAGAGUCUUUUGUACAGCAACAACCAGAAGAACUACUUAGCCUGGUACCAGCAGAAACCGGGACAGCCACCUAAGCUGCUCAUCAUCUGGGCAUCCACCCGGCAACCUGGGGUCCCCGACCGAUUCAGUGGCAGUGGGUCUGCAAAGGACUUCACUCUCACCAUCAGCAGCCUCCAGGCUGAAGAUGUGGGUGUUUAUUACUGUCAGCAGUAUUAUGAAUAUCCUCCCACAGUGUUUCAGCCUCGUACAUAA